rnacentral:sRNA from 12 species
UGCCUAACCCUUGUGGUCUAAAACCCGAGGUAUGGCAAAUAUAAAUCCUACGCGAAUAGAACGGCUCCAUAACCGCCACUUAUUCGCGUAGGUCUAUGCUCCGAAAGGACAUAGGACGGUCUCGAAAGGGAUCGCC